rnacentral:tRNA from 1 species
GGGGUCGUAGCUCAGUGGGAGAGCACGAAAAUGUUUCAGCAAGACUUGUCGCAGCAAUGCGAAUGCCGCUGGAACUACAAGUUCUUUCGAUGUCCCUGGUUCGAAUCCAGGCGACUCCA